rnacentral:lncRNA from 1 species
AUAUGUAAUGAAUCCUAAAAGUACGUGUGCUCCAAAAUGAUGAGAUCCUACCUAAGCUUUUGUGUAACACGUGUGUUUCACAGUCCCUACAGAAGGCACUGCCCUGGCUUGGAAGUCUGAGGCUGGGAAAAUAUGCAGUCAUUUGAUACCAUCACCUUUUCUGAGUUUGCCAAGACAUUUCUUGUUAAAGCAGGAUCCGGAGUAUUACGAAAGGAGCUUCUGAAGAUGGAGAAAGUUAAGAUGGUUGGAAACAAUUUGGGUUCUCUGCCAAAUGAUUUCUAG